rnacentral:rRNA from 1 species
GACGAACGCUGGCGGCGUGCUUAACACAUGCAAGUCGAACGAAGAGCGACGGAAGCUUGCUUCUAUCAAUCUUAGUGGCGAACGGGUGAGUAACGCGUAAUCAACCUGCCCUUCAGAGGGGGACAACAGUUGGAAACGACUGCUAAUACCGCAUACGAUCUAAUCUCGGCACCGAGGAUGGAUGAAAGGUGGCCUCUACAUGUAAGCUAUCACUGAAGGAGGGGAUUGCGUCUGAUUAGCUAGUUGGGGGGGUAACGGCCCACCAAGGCGAUGAUCAGUAGCCGGUCUGAGAGGAUGAACGGCCACAUUGGGACUGAGACACGGCCCAGACUCCUACGGGAGGCAGCAGUGGGGAAUCUUCCGCAAUGGACGAAAGUCUGACGGAGCAACGCCGCGUGAGUGAUGACGGCCGUCGGGUUGUAAAGCUCGGUUAAUCGGGACGAAAGGCCUUCUUGCGAAUAGGGAGAAGGAUUGACGGUACCGGAAUAGAAAGCCACGGCUAACUACGUG